rnacentral:lncRNA from 1 species
AUGGAAAGACCUAGGUGCCGAGUGCAGUGGGCUAGUUCAACCGGGCCACAGACACAUUUCUGCGGGAUUGAGCAGCAUCCCACCAGAUAUGAGGGGCUGGGUGCAAAUGUAGGAUCUCCGAACACAGGUCUACUCAGAGAGUACCUCCUGUACACAUGGCCACAGAUGAAACCAAAAACCAUCAACAUGGUAUGGAGAAGAUGCUCUUCAGCUAUAUUGAGGGUGUCCCACAAUGCUGGCCAGCCCAUGUCUGCUUUCAUCUGGUCCUCAAGUCAAGGCCAUCUUCUGAAUUCUGUUCAAAUGCUAGGAUAGCCUGACAUUACCAGACAUUGUGGAAGGUAUGUGUUUAAUGUCACAGACUGAUGGUUUUUGUCAUUGAAUUUGUAAAACGAAAGUCCUUGAACAAGAUCUGAUUACCUUGGAAAGGGGCUGAGUGGGAUUUCAAUAACUCUUCUGUAAGUACCUGCAGGUGAUGCUCCUGCCAACAUCUGAAGUGUUUAUGUUUUAUUAAUUAUCAAAAAUUUGUGCUCAGCAGGGAAGAAUAAUAAUUAUUGGUCUUUCAAUAAUUCUGUCUGAAGUUACUGGGUUGUUACUACAAGGUUGUAGGUAAGGAGCUGAGUCUGAACUAGAUUUCCUCAAGGCAGCAGAGGAAUAUUGAAGCCCCUUCUACUGGGUCAGAUCAUUCAUACACAAAGCCUAUAACUGCCAGUUCUGACUGGCAGUGUCUCUGCUGGAUUUCAGUCAGGAUUCUUCCAUAGCAUUCUUGCUAUCCAGAGAUCCCUGGUGGUCUCCCUUUCUUCACCAAAUUGGAUGAGCUCUUUAUCAGCUAGGCAAAAGUAAGUGAUGGAAGAGGCAUCGAUUCAACAUGAUAAAGUUGCAAAGCCUUCAUUUCAAAGAAUCUGAGAUGGAUUUUUGAAGGAGUCUUGCAGGCUUGAACUAGAUCAGACUGCGCUUGGUGCUCAGAAAUGGAAGACAGGCUGCUGAGACAAAGAAUCAUCUAGGCCAUGUUUUUUGGAUCAAUAAAGAACUCUGAGCUUCUUAUAUAUUCCUGAUC